rnacentral:rRNA from 1 species
UACGUAGGGGGCUAGCGUUGUCCGGAAUCAUUGGGCGUAAAGAGCGCGUAGGCGGCUAGAUAAGUCCGGUGUGAAAGUCACAGGCUCAACCUGUGAAUGCCGCUGGAAACUGUCUGGCUAGAGUUCGGUAGGGGAGUCUGGAAUUCCUGGUGUAGCGGUGAAAUGCGCAGAUAUCAGGAGGAACACCGGUGGCGAAGGCGGCAUCCUGGACCAACACUGACGCUGAGUGAGCGAAAGCCAGGGGAGCAAACGGG